CCCGCGCCUCCCCUGACAUGCUCUGGCGCCCCCCUGGGGAGGCGCGCCCCACACUUUGAAAACCCCUGGAUUAGUUUGACUCUCAAAGCU